UACGUAGGGGGCAAGCGUUGUCCGGAUUUAUUGGGCGUAAAGAGCGUGUAGGCGGCCAUGUAGGUCCGUUGUGAAAACUCGAGGCUCAACCUCGAGACGCCGAUGGAAACCAUGUGGCUAGAGUCCGGAAGAGGAGAGUGGAAUUCCUGGUGUAGCGGUGAAAUGCGCAGAUAUCAGGAAGAACACCGGUGGCGAAGGCGGCCCACUGGAUCGGUACUGACGCUGAGGUGCGAAAGCGUGGGGAGCAAACAGG
rnacentral:rRNA from 1 species